AUUGAACGCUGGCGGAAUGCUUUACACAUGCAAGUCGAACGGCAGCACGGACUUCGGUCUGGUGGCGAGUGGCGAACGGGUGAGUAACAUAUCGGAACGUAUCCAAUAAUGGGGGAUAACGAGUCGAAAGAUUCGCUAAUACCGCAUACGCCCUACGGGGGAAAGCUGGGGACCUUCGGGCCUGGCGUUAAUGGAGCGGCCGAUAUCUGAUUAGCGAGUUGGUGAGGUAAAGGCUCACCAAGGCGCCGAUCAGUAGCUGGUCUGAGAGGACGACCCGCCACACUGGAACUGAGACACGGUCCAGACGCCUACGCGAGGCAGCAGUGGGGAAUUUUGGACAAUGGGCGCAAGCCUGAUCCAGCCAUUCCGCGUGAGUGAAGAAGGCCUUCAGGUUGUAAAGCUCUUUCGCAAGGGAAGAAAACUUAGCCACUAACAUUGGUUGAGGUUGACGGUACCUUGAUAAGAAGCACCGGCUAACUACGUGCCAGCCGCCGCCGUAA
rnacentral:rRNA from 1 species